AGCUUGUCACUGCUGUACACGCGCUCGAAUUAGUAAAGCUGGAACACGGCUAUAAAAGUUGAGGCGGCGCGGAACCAUGAGGCAUUAUGCAAGCAGUAGCAGAACACCAUUCCAAUGUCCACUCCAGAAAUCCUGGUUCCCACCGUUCCGUCCAGCUUCAAUGAGAAGGACGAACCACCCGAGCCGGUGAUCCCAGACGGCGCCGUGUACCUCAUCGGGGGCUUUGUCCUAUGCCUGGUCGUCGGAAGUCUCUUCUUCAUGGCUUACGUCAUGAUCUCGGAGAGCGCGGCAGUUGGGGGCACGCGGAAGUGACGAGUACAUGCCUCUCAUCUUCAACACACCCUUGAAGAAAGCAAGACCAAGUGAGCAAGUCAACUUUCCGAGCAGUGCAUCAUGGUUGAAUCUUUCGCCACCACUCCAUCAAACAUCAACUUCGUGAUUUUUUACAACUACAUAUUGCCAUGCCCUGUGUUGUAUCACUUGAUCCUUGGCUGCAAACAGCAUUUCCUGCUGCCCCAAUAAACUUGCACGCCACCUAGUGCAUAUUGUGACCAGACCAGGCAUCUCGAGGCAUUCAUCCACAAAGAUGCUAGAGCAAGAACUCGUCAUUUUCACUUGUUCUCUGCUGACAAGGACAUUGUUUAUUUGGGCAUUCAGGUACUUUGUACAAAAAUAAAGAUACGAGAUAUAUAAAGGGCGCGAGAGACAGCUUUGGCUCUACUGUUUAUUCAAAAAAAUGUGUUUGAAAGCGCAGCGUAGCUGUUUGCUUGCAGAACACCAUAAAUUACUUUCUUUACAGGUAUGUACACAUCAUAAACUAUAUCUGAAACUCACAACGUACACAAGCGAGGGAAAUUAGCGUAUAUAAAUUAGAAGCUUGCUCAGGAGAUGCAGGGUAGCGA
rnacentral:lncRNA from 1 species